UGGGGAAUAUUGCGCAAUGGGCGAAAGCCUGACGCAGCGACGCCGCGUGAAGGAAGAAGGUCUUCGGAUUGUAAACUUCUGUUAAGUGGAAAGAAAAUUCUGCGCUUAAUACGCGCAGGGAAUGACGGUACCAUUAAAGAAAGCACCGGCUAACUUCGUGCCAGCAGCCGCGGUAAUACGAAGGGUGCAAGCGUUAUUCGGAAUCAUUGGGCGUAAAGGGUGCGUAGACGGUAUAUUAAGUCUGUUGUUAAAUCUUCUGGCCUAACCAGAAAUCUGCAGCGGGUACUGAUGUGCUAGAGGGUGGAAGAGAGAAGUGGAAUUCUCGGAGUAGCGGUAAAAUGCGUAGAUCUCGAGAGGAACACCAAUGGCGAAGGCAGCUUCUUGGUCCAAUCCUGACGUUGAGGCACGAAAGCGUGGGGAGCAAACAGGAUUAGAUACCCCGGUAGUCC
rnacentral:rRNA from 1 species